AGAGUUUGAUCCUGGCUCAGAUUGAACGCUGGCGGCAGGCUUAACACAUGCAAGUCGAGCGGAGAUGAGGUGCUUGCACCUUAUCUUAGCGGCGGACGGGUGAGUAAUGCUUAGGAAUCUGCCUAUUAGUGGGGGACAACAUUCCGAAAGGAAUGCUAAUACCGCAUACGUCCUACGGGAGAAAGCAGGGGAUCUUCGGACCUUGCGCUAAUAGAUGAGCCUAAGUCGGAUUAGCUAGCUGGUGGGGUAAAGGCCUACCAAGGCGACGAUCUGUAGCGGGUCUGAGAGGAUGAUCCGCCACACUGGGACUGAGACACGGCCCAGACUCCUACGGGAGGCAGCAGUGGGGAAUAUUGGACAAUGGGGGGAACCCUGAUCCAGCCAUGCCGCGUGUGUGAAGAAGGCCUUAUGGUUGUAAAGCACUUUAAGCGAGGAGGAGGCUACUGAGACUAAUACUCUUGGAUAGUGGACGUUACUCGCAGAAUAAGCACCGGCUAACUCUGUGCCAGCAGCCGCGGUAAUACAGAGGGUGCGAGCGUUAAUCGGAUUUACUGGGCGUAAAGCGUGCGUAGGCGGCUUUUUAAGUCGGAUGUGAAAUCCCCGAGCUUAACUUGGGAAUUGCAUUCGAUACUGGGAAGCUAGAGUAUGGGAGAGGAUGGGGUAGAAUUCCAGGUGUAGCGGUGAAAUGCGUAGAGAUCUGG
rnacentral:rRNA from 1 species